rnacentral:lncRNA from 1 species
UGGCAGUUGCAGCAAAUGAUUCGAUUUGGAACAAAUAAUCUAAAGUUACAGGCAAUCAUGCAUCGGUUUACGCAUGUUUAAAAGCCGGAUAAGCGUGCAGAGCCGAUUACAUGUACUAGAGCUGGGAAACGCGCGUCUGGCGACACGUUACUUGGCCCCGGCACGCAGUGAACUAGCCGCUCGACACGUAACUGAGUCUGUCGUUCAGGCAUAAUGCGGCGUCUGUAACGCGUUUUUCUCGAGCACGUGUAACGGAGAUGGAAAACGCGUGUUCGAUACCAUGUAACGGGAGUAAACUGUCACCGGUAAGUGCUUAACGCAGCGCUUGACGCGAAACCGGCUUUGCAUGAGUAACCAGCGCCAGUUACGAGCAUUCAGGAAGAGUUGUUGAUGGCAGAGAGAUAAUGGUUCAGUUUGCCAAAUACGGGCCAGAUGUUGAAAGAAUGUGAGUCGAGUAUUUGGUAAUUUUGCGUCUGAAUUAGCAUUUUACGUGAAUAGGAGCGUUCCCAAACGCUAAAUCAGUCGGAACUUUCCCAAAACGUGAUUUUAUAUGAUUUGUAACGAAUUUAAUGAAAAUCGCGUACGGCCUGUUUUUUCUGGUCCGGAUCGCAAACCCGUGUCGCUUGGUUUGAUUUUGUACUCCAUUACGGGUGAUCUGGUUCGCGAU